rnacentral:rRNA from 1 species
AGAGUUUGAUCCUGGCUCAGGACGAACGCCGGCGGCGUGCCUAAUACAUGCAAGUAGAACGCUGAAGAGAGGAGCUUGCUCUUCUUGGAUGAGUUGCGAACGGGUGAGUAACGCGUAGGUAACCUGCCUUGUAGCGGGGGAUAACUAUUGGAAACGAUAGCUAAUACCGCAUAACAAUGGAUGACCCAUGUCAUUUAUUUGAAAGGGGCAAAUGCUCCACUACAAGAUGGACCUGCGUUGUAUUAGCUAGUAGGUGAGGUAACGGCUCACCUAGGCGACGAUACAUAGCCGACCUGAGAGGGUGAUCGGCCACACUGGGACUGAGACACGGCCCAGACUCCUACGGGAGGCAGCAGUAGGGAAUCUUCGGCAAUGGGGGCAACCCUGACCGAGCAACGCCGCGUGAGUGAAGAAGGUUUUCGGAUCGUAAAGCUCUGUUGUAAGUCAAGAACGAGUGUGAGAGUGGAAAGUUCACACUGUGACGGUAGCUUACCAGAAAGGGACGGCUAACUACGUGCCAGCAGCCGCGGUAAUACGUAGGUCCCGAGCGUUGUCCGGAUUUAUUGGGCGUAAAGCGAGCGCAGGCGGUUUGAUAAGUCUGAAGUUAAAGGCUGUGGCUCAACCAUAGUUCGCUUUGGAAACUGUCAAACUUGAGUGCAGAAGGGGAGAGUGGAAUUCCAUGUGUAGCGGUGAAAUGCGUAGAUAUAUGGAGGAACACCGGUGGCGAAAGCGGCUCUCUGGUCUGUAACUGACGCUGAGGCUCGAAAGCGUGGGGAGCGAACAGGAUUAGAUACCCUGGUAGUCCACGCCGUAAACGAUGAGUGCUAGGUGUUGGAUCCUUUCCGGGAUUCAGUGCCGCAGCUAACGCAUUAAGCACUCCGCCUGGGGAGUACGACCGCAAGGUUGAAACUCAAAGGAAUUGACGGGGGCCCGCACAAGCGGUGGAGCAUGUGGUUUAAUUCGAAGCAACGCGAAGAACCUUACCAGGUCUUGACAUCCCGAUGCUAUUUCUAGAGAUAGAAAGUUACUUCGGUACAUCGGUGACAGGUGGUGCAUGGUUGUCGUCAGCUCGUGUCGUGAGAUGUUGGGUUAAGUCCCGCAACGAGCGCAACCCCUAUUGUUAGUUGCCAUCAUUCAGUUGGGCACUCUAGCGAGACUGCCGGUAAUAAACCGGAGGAAGGUGGGGAUGACGUCAAAUCAUCAUGCCCCUUAUGACCUGGGCUACACACGUGCUACAAUGGUUGGUACAACGAGUUGCGAGUCGGUGACGGCAAGCUAAUCUCUUAAAGCCAAUCUCAGUUCGGAUUGUAGGCUGCAACUCGCCUACAUGAAGUCGGAAUCGCUAGUAAUCGCGGAUCAGCACGCCGCGGUGAAUACGUUCCCGGGCCUUGUACACACCGCCCGUCACACCACGAGAGUUUGUAACACCCGAAGUCGGUGAGGUAACCUUUUGGAGCCAGCCGCCUAAGGUGGGAUAGAUGAUUGGGGUGAAGUCGUAACAAGGUA